AGUUCAUGUGUGGAUUUCAUCAGCAUAUCGUCGCAAACAGGUGUGUAACUAACACCCUCUUUCUUAGUCUAGACCGGCAAAAGUCGAAAAUCCGAAAUGCCGAAAACUGGUAUUUUGUAGAUUUGCGAGUGUGCGAAUGCUCGUGAGGUAAAUCGAUUAAUGUUUUUGGUAAGCUGCAAUGUUUGGACUACAAAGUGCAUGAUUUCUGUGCCCUCGAUAUUUUUGGGCUUAAUGGGCCAAAAUUGGAAUGAUGGGCCAACGGGCCCAAUUCGGAAAUCCCCAACCAUAGUGGGCUUAGAGCUGUGAGGGAAUUUGGAGUCGCCACCCGUUCUGAAAGUUUGAUUUUCUUCUGGUGAACUGGACAUCCUUUUAUUUACGUUUGAAGUUUUGGAUUUUUAAAUGUAAUAAGGCCGCUUAAUUAUUUUUGAUGGUUUUAAUAUGUAUUACUAAAAUAGGUAUUACUUAUUUUAACUGUUGAAAUUGGAUAGCUUUAGGGCACGUUUUCAAAAACAACAAUUGAUUUCAAAAUAA